GUUAGGAUUUGAGUCGUUUGUGCUAAACUAGUAUAUAAUUGUUGAGGGGCCAGCUGAAGCACGCGUUAGAGUGCAGGGUUUUCUCGCUGCGUCGACCGACUUCUAAUUUUAUGGUCGGGUUGCUGUCUCUUUGACACAUUCUCUGUUUUUAUUCUCAAUUUUAUUUCUUUUUUCUUUUUCUUUUUUGUAAGUUGAACAUUUUGAAAUAAAAACCAAUGACAGCAAAAGACGCAGGCGAAACACCAGAUUCCGCGGGAGCCGUUACCCUUUAUCAAAAAAUAUACACACCGUUGAAAUAUGUAGAUUUUAUUAUUGUUAAUAAUUUAUUUU
rnacentral:lncRNA from 1 species